rnacentral:rRNA from 1 species
GCCUGAUGCAGCGACGCCGCGUGAGGGAUGACGGCCUUCGGGUUGUAAACCUCUUUCGGUAGGGACGAAGCGCAAGUGACGGUACCUAUAGAAGAAGGACCGGCCAACUACGUGCCAGCAGCCGCGGUAAUACGUAGGGUCCGAGCGUUGUCCGGAAUUACUGGGCGUAAAGAGCUCGUAGGUGGUUUGUCACGUUGUUCGUGAAAACUCACAGCUCAACUGUGGGCGUGCGGGCGAUACGGGCAGACUGGAGUACUGCAGGGGAGACUGGAAUUCCUGGUGUAGCGGUGGAAUGCGCAGAUAUCAGGAGGAACACCGGUGGCGAAGGCGGGUCUCUGGGCAGUAACUGACGCUGAGGAGCGAAAGCGUGGGGAGCGAACAGGAUUAGAUACCCUGGUAGUCCACGCCGUAAACGGUGGGUACUAGGUGUGGGUUUCCUUCCUUGGGAUCCGUGCCGUAGCUAACGCAUUAAGUACCCCGCCUGGGGAGUACGGCCGCAAGGCUAAAACUCAAAGAAAUUGACGGGGGCCCGCACAAGCGGCGGAGCAUGUGGAUUAAUUCGAUGCAACGCGAAGAACCUUACCUGGGUUUGACAUGCACAGGACGCUGGUAGAGAUAUCAGUUCCCUUGUGGCC